UACGAAGGGGGCUAGCGUUGCUCGGAAUUACUGGGCGUAAAGGGCGCGUAGGCGGAUUUUUAAGUCAGGGGUGAAAUCCCAGAGCUCAACUCUGGAACUGCCUUUGAUACUGGAUGUCUUGAGUGUGAGAGAGGUAUGUGGAACUCCGAGUGUAGAGGUGAAAUUCGUAGAUAUUAGGAAGAACACCAGUGGCGAAAGGCGGCCAACUGGCCCGAUACUGACGCUCAUG
rnacentral:rRNA from 1 species